rnacentral:rRNA from 1 species
UACGUAGGGGGCAAGCGUUGUCCGGAUUUAUUGGGCGUAAAGAGCGUGUAGGCGGCUUGGUAGGUCUUGCGUCAAAACCUGAGGCUCAACCUCAGUUCGCGUGGGAAACCACCUAGCUAGAGUCCGGAAGAGGAGAACGGAAUUCCCAGUGUAGCGGUGAAAUGCGUAGAUAUCGAGAGGAACACCGGUGGCGAAGGCAAGUCCCUGGUCCGCUUCUGACGCUGAGGCGCGAAAGCGUGGGUAGCAAACAGG